rnacentral:rRNA from 1 species
UACAGAGGUCUCAAGCGUUGUUCGGAUUCAUUGGGCGUAAAGGGUGCGUAGGUGGCGCCGUAAGUCAGGUGUGAAAUCUCGGAGCUCAACUCCGAAACUGCACUUGAUACUGCGGUGCUCGAGUACUGGAGAGGAGAUUGGAAUUUACGGUGUAGCAGUGAAAUGCGUAGAUAUCGUAAAGGAAGACCAGUGGCGAAGGC